rnacentral:rRNA from 1 species
AGCCAGACAGUAUCUCCUGAAAGCCUGACAGUUAAGCUGCCAGAUUUCUCAAGAGACUUAUCCGGCCGGCUACAGACCCUUUAGACCCAAUAAUAACGGUACCACUCGAGCCGCCGCGGUAAUACCGGCUGCUCGAGUGAUGGCCACUAUUACUGGGUUUAAAGCGUCCGUAGCUUGACUGUUAGGUCUCUUGGGAAAUCUUCGCGCUCAACGUGAAGGCGUCUAAGAGAUACCGGCAGUCUUGGAACUGGGAGAGGUAAACCGUACUUCGGGGGUAGGAGUGAAAUCUUGUAAUCCUCGAGGGACGACCUAUGGCGAAGGCAGUUUACCAGAACAGCUUCGACAGUGAGGGACGAAAGCUGGGGGAGCAAACGGGAUUAGAUACCCCGGUAGUCCCAGCCGUAAACAAUGUGCGUUAGGUGUGUCGGUAACCACGUGUUACUGAUGCGCCGAAGAGAAAUCGUGAAACGCACCACCUGGGAAGUACGGUCGCAAGGCUGAAACUUAAAGGAAUUGGCGGGGGAGCACCACAACAGGUGGAGCCUGCGGUUUAAUUGGAUUCAACGCCGGAAAGGGC